GAUGAACGCUGGCGGCGUGCCUAUACAUGCAAGUAGACGCUGAAGCUUGGUGCUUGCACCGAGCGGAUGAGUUGCGAACGGGUGAGUAACGCGUAGGUAACCUGCCUGGUAGCGGGGGAUACUAUUGGAAACGAUAGCUAAUACCGCAUAACAGUAGAUAUUGCAUGAUAUCUGCUUGAAAGGUGCAAUUGCAUCACUACCAGAUGGACCUGCGUUGUAUUAGCUAGUUGGUGAGGUAACGGCUCACCAAGGCGACGAUACAUAGCCGACCUGAGAGGGUGAUCGGCCACACUGGGGACUGAGACACGGCCCCAGACUUCCUACGGGAGGCAGCAGUAGGGAAUCUUCGGCAAAUGGACGGAAGUCUGACCGAGCAACGCCGCGUGAGUGAAGAAGGUUUUCGGAUCGUAAGCUCUGUUGUAAGAGAAGAACGAGUGUGAGAGUGGAAAGUUCACACUGUGACGGUAUCUUACCAGAAAGGGCAGGC
rnacentral:rRNA from 1 species